rnacentral:tRNA from 2 species
GAAGUAGUUCAGUGGUAGAAUACAACCUUGCCAAGGUUGGGGUCGCGGGUUCGAAUCCCGUCUUCCGCUCCA